CCAUAUCACCUUCAAACACUCGUUCAGGUAUGAUCACUGAAGUUAAGCAACGUCGGGCCUGUUCAAUACCUAGAUGUGUGACUGCCUGUGAAUACCAGGUGUUGUCAU